rnacentral:rRNA from 1 species
CCUACGGGUGGCUGCAGUCGAGAAUCAUUCACAAUGGGGGAAACCCUGAUGGGGCGACGCCGCGUGGGGGAAUGAAGGUCUGCGGAUUGUAAACCCCUGUCAUGUGGGAGCAAAUUAAAAAGAUAGUACCACAAGAGGAAGAGACGGCUAACUCUGUGCCAGCAGCCGCGGUAAUACAGAGGUCUCAAGCGUUGUUCGGAAUAACUGGGCGUAAGGCGUGCGUAGGCGGUUUCGUAAGUCGUGUGUGAAAGGCGCGGGCUCAACCCGCGGACGGCACAUGAUACUGCGAGACUAGAGUAAUGGAGGGGGAACCGGAAUUCUCGGUGUAGCAGUGAAAUGCGUAGAUAUCGAGAGGAACACUCGUGGCGAAGGCGGGUUCCUGGACAUUAACUGACGCUGAGGCACGAAGGCCAGGGGAGCGAAAGGGAUUAGAUACCCCGGUAGUC